rnacentral:rRNA from 1 species
AUGGCGACGGAGACGGAGCCCGCCGCGGCGCCGCGCCUGCUCCUGGGCCCGCCCCUGAUCCGCGCCGCGCGCCCGUCCCCUGACUCCGCCGCCGCCACCUCCGACGCUUCGCACCCGUUCCUCGACCUCCUCGACGCGGCCUUCAACGCGCCGUCGCCGGCGGCGAUCAAGGCGGCGCUCAAGCCGCGGAGGGCGCUCACGGAGAACUGCUCCGCCACGUACGCCAACUCGGGCAACCCCUGCCUCGACUUCUUCUUCCAGGUGGUCCCCGACACGCCUGCCGACCGCGUGCGCCAGCUCCUCGCCGCCGCCUGGGCGCAGGACGCGCCCACGGCGCUCCGCCUCGCCUGCAACCUCCGCGGCGUGCGCGGUACCGGCAAGUCGGACAGGGAGGGCUUCUACGCCGCCGCGCUCUGGAUGCACGAGCACCACCCGCGCACGCUCGCCUGCAACGUCGCCGCGCUCGCCGAGUUCGGCUACCUCAAGGACUUCCCCGAGCUGCUGUUCCGCCUCCUCCGCGGCCCCGACGUGCGCGCGGUCGCCAAGGCCGGCGCCGAGGCCGACAAGGCGCGCAGGAAGGCCAAGGGCCUCGCCACGCAGCGGGAGGGCUUGCGGGCUAGGCUCGCCGGCCGCAAGCGCGCCCGCGAGCUCGCCCUCGUGCCGGCCAAGGCCACCUUCGGCGACUUCCUCUCUGCCGCGCUCUCCAAGGCCGGCAAGGGCAGCAAGCCCGUGGAGUCUGUCCCGGUCCAGGAGCCCCCGGAGGUGCAGAAGCCGGAAGCGAUGGAGGUGGACCAGAAGAAGACGGCCGCGGGUAAGCCGCGGCGGAUGUCGAAGAAGGUGCGCACGGUUGCCAAGCUGGCCAUGCAGUCGUUGGAGACGUACUACGGCGACCGUGCCUACCGCUUCCUGUUCGACGCCGUCGCCGACUUCUUCGCCGCGCUCCUCACCUCGGACCUCCAGCAGCUGGCCUCCGGCGGCAAAAAGAGGAAGAUCGGGCUCGCCGCCAAGUGGUGUCCCACUCCAGGCUCGUCCUUCGACCGCACCACGCUUCUCUGCGAGGCCAUCGCCCGCCGCCUCUUCCCGCGCGACUCGGACCCCGAGCUCACCCAGCUCUCGGACGAGCACUACGCGUACCACGCCCUACACCGCCUCCGCCGCAAGGUGCUCGUGCCGCUGCGCAAGGUGCUGGAGCUCCCGGAGGUGUACAUGAGCGCGCAGCGGUGGUCGGAGCUGCCCUACACCCGUGUCGCCUCGGUGGCCAUGCGGCGCUACAAGUCCCUCUUCAAGAAGCACGAUGAGGAGCGCUUCGACAAGUACCUGGAGGACGUGGAGGCUGGCAAGGCCAAGAUCGCGGCGGGCGCGCUCCUGCCGCACGAGAUCGCGGCGGCCGCGUACCGCGGCCAGGAUGACAAUGUAUCGGAGCUGCAGUGGCGACGCAUGGUGGACGACCUCCGUUCCAAGGGCUCGCUGCGCAACUGCAUCUCGGUCUGCGACGUGUCCUUGAGCAUGAGCGGCACCCCGAUGGAGGUGUGCAUCGCGCUGGGCGUGCUCACCUCGGAGCUCAGCGAGGAGCCGUGGGCCGGCAAGGUGAUCACCUUCAGCGAGAACCCGGAGAUUCACCUGAUCAAGGGCAAGACCCUCCGCCAGAAGAUGGACUUCGUGCGACGCAUGCACUGGGGCGGGAGCACCAACUUCCAGGGGGUGUUCGACCAGAUCCUCCGCACGGCGGUGGAGGCGAGUCUGGCGCCGGAGAAGAUGAUCAGGACCGUGUUCGUGUACAGCGACAUGGAGUUCAACAUGGCGUCGGGGAGCGCCUACGCCGCCUACUACAGCCGGCGGGAGUCUGUUCCGUGGGAGACUGACUACGAGGUGAUCUGCAAAAAGUUCAGGGACGCUGGCUACGGCGACGUGGUGCCCCAGAUCAUCUUCUGGAACCUGCGCGACUCAAAGUCGACGCCGGUGACGUCGACCCAGCCGGGGGUGGCCAUGGUGAGCGGCUUCUCCAAGAACUUCCUCAAGAUCUUUCUGAAGAACGACGGCGUGGUGAACCCUGAGGCCAUCAUGAUGGAGGCCAUCGCCGGCGAAGAGUACCAGAAGCUCGUCGUGUACGACUAG